rnacentral:rRNA from 1 species
AGUGAACGCUGGCGGUAGGCCUAACACAUGCAAGUCGAACGGCAGCACAGUAAGAGCUUGCUCUUACGGGUGGCGAGUGGCGGACGGGUGAGGAAUACAUCGGAAUCUACUUUUUCGUGGGGGAUAACGUAGGGAAACUUACGCUAAUACCGCAUACGACCUACGGGUGAAAGCAGGGGAUCUUCGGACCUUGCGCGAUUGAAUGAGCCGAUGUCGGAUUAGCUAGUUGGCGGGGUAAAGGCCCACCAAGGCGACGAUCCGUAGCUGGUCUGAGAGGAGGGUCGGCCGCAUGGGAACGGGGACACGGACAUGAGGACUGCGAGAGGCAGCAGAGUGGAAUGGUGGGCAGAGGGGGGGAGUCUGAUACAACGGGACGGAGUGUGAGAAGGAGACGUUCGGGUUGUGAAGCCCUUUUGUGGGGAGAAAAAAGCAGCAGCUUAAGACCCCGCGGGUGUGACGGUACCGGGUGAAUAAGCACCGGCUAACUUCGUG